AACGUUCCGCCUCGCUUGCGGCGGAACAGGGGAUGGUUCGGCCCGGCAGCAUCGAGGGGCUGGGGCUGAGGGUUCGAAGUUACCGGACCGAACCAGCCAUGU
rnacentral:sRNA from 1 species